AAAAAACCCUAUAUAAAAUUAUCCAACGGUGGAGGAACAUUCAUGCGCGGAAACACGGAGCCGCUCACACCCAAGACAUUGGAAUCUCACACCCUCCCAUACAAACAAAAAACGUCACUGCUCUCUGAAACACACUCACGCUCCUUCACGUCUCUCUCCCCACUUGCAAACACUAACUUUAACUCAACCAUAGUUUACUACCAACCACACCCUCGAUUUUCUUCCCUUUAUUUAUAUCCCAACUCCCCCUCAAUUCGCAUUCUCCGUUCCCCUAUCAUUAUUCUUCUUAACCACGCUAGUUACUUACCUUUCUUCUCUGUUUAUUUUGUUUCAUGUGAGGGAUAG